AUUGAACGCUGGCGGCAGGCCUAACACAUGCAAGUCGAACGAGUGGCGGACGGGUGAGUAAUGUCUGGGAAACUGCCCGAUGGAGGGGGAUAACUACUGGAAACGGUAGCUAAUACCGCAUACCAUCGGAUGUGCCCAGAUGGGAUGAGCUAGUAGGUGGGGUAACUUCUCCCCUCGGCGACGAUCCCUAGCUGGUCUGAGAGGAUGCCCAGCCACACUGUAACUGAGACACGGUCCAGACGCCUACGUGAGGCAGCAGUGGGGAAUAUUGCACAAUGGGCGAAAGCCUGAUGCAGCCAUGCCGCGUGUAUGAAGAAGGCCUUCGGGUUGUAAAGUACUUUCAGCGAGGAGGCGUUACUCGCAGAAGAAGCACCGGCGAAAGAAGUGCCAGCAGCCGCGGUAAUUC
rnacentral:rRNA from 1 species